rnacentral:rRNA from 1 species
GGCUCAGAAUGAACGCUGGCCGGGUGCCUAACACAUGCAAGUCGGAUGUGCCGCAAGGUGCAUGGCAGACGGGUGAGUAACGCGUGGGAAACCUACCUCUUUGUGGGGAAUAACGCUCCGAAAGGAGUGGUAAUACCGCAUGAGACCACGAGCUGGGACGCUCGUGGUGAAACCUGGGGACCGUAAGGCCUGGGGCAAGGAGAGGGUCCUGCGUCUGAUUAGCUAGUUGGUGGGGUAACGGCCUACCAAGGCGACGAUCAGUAGCCGGCCUGAGAGGGUGAUCGGCCACACUGGAACUGAGACACGGUCCAGACUCCUACGGGAGGCAGCAGUGGGGAAUUUUGCGCAAUGGGCGAAAGCCUGACGCAGCAACGCCGCGUGGGUGAUGAAGGUCUUCGGAUCGUAAAACCCUGUCGUCAGGGACGAAGGUUGGGAGUUGAAUAGGCUCUUAACUUGACGGUACCUGGAGAGGAAGCCCCGGCUAACUCUGUGCCAGCAGCCGCGGUAAUACAGAGGGGGCAAGCGUUAUUCGGAAUUAUUGGGCGUAAAGGGCGCGUAGGCGGUUUUUUAAGUGAGAUGUGUAAUCCCCGAGCUUAACUUGGGAACUGCAUCUCAGACUGGAAGGCUAGAGUGCUGGAGAGGGUGGUAGAAUUCCACGUGUAGCGGUGAAAUGCGUAGAGAUGUGGAGGAAUACCAGUGGCGAAGGCGGCCACCUGGACAGUAACUGACGCUGAGGCGCGAAAGUGUGGGUAGCAAACAGGAUUAGAUACCCUGGUAGUCCACGCUGUAAACGAUGAACACUUGGUGUGGUGGGAGUUGACCCCUGCCGUGCCGUAGCUAACGCGAUAAGUGUUCCGCCUGGGGAGUACGGUCGCAAGGCUGAAACUC